AACGAACGCUGGCGGCGUGCUUAACACAUGCAAGUCGAGCGAGAAAGGGGGCUUCGGCUCCUGAGUAAAGCGGCGCACGGGUGAGUAACACGUGGGUAACCUGCCUUUCAGUGGGGGAUAACAGUUCGAAAGGGCUGCUAAUACCGCAUUCGUCCACACGGUCACAUGUCUGUGUGGAGAAAGAGGCGCAAGUCUCGCUGGAAGAUGGGCCCGCGGUCCAUUAGCUAGUUGGUGGGUAAAGGCCUACCAAGGCUUCGAUGGAUAGCUGGUCUGAGAGGAUGAUCAGCCACACUGGAACUGAGACACGGUCCAGACUCCUACGGGAGGCAGCAGUGGGGAAUAUUGCGCAAUGGGCGAAAGCCUGACGCAGCAACGCCGCGUGUGUGAUGAAGGCCUCGG
rnacentral:rRNA from 1 species